rnacentral:pre_miRNA from 1 species
AGAGGCACGUGUGCUUUUUCUACACACUGUAUAGACGCGUGCACAUGUCAGUAGAGGUGCAUGUGGCUUU